rnacentral:rRNA from 1 species
UACGAAGGGGGCUAGCGUUGCUCGGAAUCACUGGGCGUAAAGCGCACGUAGGCGGAUUGCUAAGUCAGGGGUGAAAUCCUGGAGCUCAACUCCAGAACUGCCUUUGAUACUGGCGAUCUUGAGUCCGGAAGAGGUGAGUGGAACUCCGAGUGUAGAGGUGAAAUUCGUAGAUAUUCGGAAGAACACCAGUGGCGAAGGCGGCUCACUGGUCCGGUACUGACGCUGAUGUGCGAAAGCGUGGGGAGCAAACAGG